AACCCUGCGAAAGUGGGGCUAAUACCGGAUAAGACCACAUGGCAUAUGUCAUGGGGGUAGAAGGUGGCUUAUAUUUAUAUGAGCUAUCACUUGAGGAUGAGUCCAUGGCCUAUCAGCUUGUUGGUGAGGUAAAAGCUCACCAAGGCUAUGACGGGUAGCUGGUCUGAGAGGACGACCAGCCACACUGGGACUGAGACACGGCCCAGACUCCUACGGGAGGCAGCAGUGGGGGAAUAUUGGGCAAUGGGCGCAAGCCUGACCCAGCGACGCCGCGUGGGUGAUGAAGGCCUUCGGGUUGUAAAACCCUUUCGUGCGGAAAGAACAGCCCUGUAGUUAAUACCUGCAGGGUUUGACGGUACCGCAGGAAGAAGCACCGGCUAACUCCGUGCCAGCAGCCGCGGUAA
rnacentral:rRNA from 1 species